ensembl:lncRNA
CUUUUUUUUUUUUUUUUCUUUUGUUGUUCUUUUUUCGUAAGUAAAAAACUCAUGUCAUCCUGUUAAGCACACCUUCACACACAAUUCAUCCCUAUACACGCUUAAAUACAUCAGAUUAAAAUACACACUUGUGGCUAUGACAACAAAUUCCACUUUCCAUCAAGAUACUUUUAACAUACCCUGAACUAUGACCUUUACAGACGAACAAAAGCAAAAGAUCCUAGGAGUUGCAUGCUAACAGGUCAUAUGGACUCCUAUAAAAAAAAAGAUGGUAAAAUACAAGCCAGAGGAAAGAGCAGAUUAUGGAAGGGUAGAUUAAUAUUUGCACAGAGCCUUGAAGGCAGAAUGAUAGUGAAGUAGUGUGUGUGUAUGUGUGCGUGCGUGUGCGUGUGUACAUAAAAACCAAUUCCUUCAAGGGUUGGAUUACUUCAUACAUUAGUCACUAAUCUCUCGCAAUGUUCUGAUGGAUGUUAUGGUCUGAGCUUAACACACCGUGAAAUCUGUUUGAGCUGUAUUGAAACGAGUCGGUGUUUUCGGCCGCAGAUUGUUCUGUUUGAAGCUUUCCUUUCACAACACACCUCUGCUAUUCGGAAUAAUUUUUGCGAGUAGGGUAGAAGCUAGUCAGCCACUGAACCUCGGCGCUGAGGGAAAAAGAGAUGUGAGAGAAACUCCAAGGUCCGAAAUAGGUGUAAUUAAAAAUUCUCUUUGACAUCGGUUUUUUAGUGCUUACAGAGGACUUGGAGGGGAAAAAAACCCACCAUUUUCAUACUUUAAAAAGUAUUAAUUAAAACAAACAACCGAACAAACGAACCCCGAAUUUCAGCAUUUCUAUAAACCCUUCGAGUUCGGGGACGACAAUGAUUUGUAAUUCAGCAGCACAAGCAGUUAGCCCUCCCAACCUUUUCUUUUUCCGACUUAGCCUUUCUGAGGCUUUGCUGGUCACUUCUGACAAUACAAAUCAGCCUUAACAUAACGCCAGUCGGGAGAAGGCAACGCGUGUGAACUUUUUAUUACCAGCAGAUACUUCCCAGCUUUCAUCCGCUGCGGAUUCGCCCUCUCUAAGUGCCACCGGGCAUGUCUCCGCCAGAAGCAGCCAGAGCCCGGUAGUGCCAAAGACCUUCCUGAAGUGAAUUUUCCUUGGACCGAGAGAUGACAACAGGAUUACAUUUCGCCUGCUUUCCUUCGUGGGAAAAACAACAACAACAACCAAAAAAAAAAAAAAAAA